ensembl:lncRNA
AGACACAGCCCUGCCCUCAAGGACCCCCAGUCUGAGGGGAGACACAGCCCUGCCCCCAGGUAGCCCCAGUCUGAGGGGGAGACACAGCCCUGCCCUCAGGGAGUCCCAGUCUGAGGGGAGACACAGUCCUGUCCUCAGGGAGCCCUUGCUUGAUGGGGAAAUGCAGUGUUCUCCUUACUUCUUCCCUCCUUGACAUUAUUUUCUCUCCCUAGCCCCAUCCUCUACUCUCAUGGAGGUUUCCUUCCCUAGGAAAGAUUGGGUGGGGGGCAUCAGAAGCUCCUGUCUGGCUCGGCCCCCUCCUUCCUGCUGACUCCAAGCCUGCUCACCACCCCUGUGAAACCUGAGUGUGAGGGUUCCAGGCGGGAGACUGAGUCAUGGUGACUCAAGGGUGAAUUGAACCCCCAUCCCCAUGACAGCAGCAGUCGUAUGAAAGGUGGCAUGAGAGCCAGGGGUAGGAAAAGAAAGGGCGCCUGCUGACUCCUAGCCCCUUCUUCUCUCUCCUGUCAGUGCUGGGGCCGCGCAUGCGUGCCGGAGAGCAUGUGCAGCUUGCAGCCCCGUGUCCUUUGCAUCUCGGCAGACAUGUGAGGCUGGAGUGAAUCACGGAGUAAGAAGUGGAUGUCUGGGAGCCAGAUGUGGCCCAGCUGUUUGGGGCAGCGAGCCUAGCCACCCCCAGACCAGAUGUGGCAGCACUUCUGUCUCUCUCCACCCUCUAUCUUCCAGGCUCUCAGAGUGUUUCUGGGGAAGAUCCUCCACCCUGGGCCCAAGCAAAGAUUCCCUCCCUACUGUGAGGAGUUGUUCUUCCCGCUCAGGAAGGCAUCCCCAAGUGGGUAAGAACAGGGCCUCCACACAGUCACAGGUACCCCAUCCCCCUUCACGUAAGCUUGAGGGCUCACUGGCACAAAUGCCUCAGAGCUCUUCCAAGGGCAGAGGCCAUGUCUUCUCCGUGGGAUUAGAGGGGCUGAAGGAAGACAGGGAAUGUACUAGCACACAAAUGCAAAGCACUCCCUCUAGCAGGCGUUCCUGCAGAUGUGGAUACCCAAGCUCGGGCUGCCUGAGAGCAGAGGCUGGCUCCCCGAUCAUACUGUCAUUUCCCUUAGGCAGAUGUCAGUACAACUUCCUCAUCAGACUGAAAUUCUCUGAAGGAUUUCAACAGCAGCAAGAAUGAGAGCUGUCAGUUCCCUGUGCACUUGCCCGGGAGCAGAUGCAAUGGGAAGCACACUGCAGGAAUUGCCUGCCCCUCCAAAUCCUCACGGCAAUUAGCUGCAGGGAAUUCUACUGUCAUCCCUACUAUACAGGUGAGGAAUCCCAGGAGCACCAGAGUGAGGGGCCUGGCUGGGGGCUGUAUUGACACGAUGCCACACUGAUUUGGUGGGGGUUUAAAAAAAAAUUGCUUCACCCUUGCCUUGAAUAGUGAGAUAGUAAGUAAGGCCUGUUCCCAAAGUACAGAUGGGAAAACAAUUGGACAUGGGCAGUGGGUCAGGUUGACCAUGCUGCUCUUCCCAUACCAUGACGCCUGACUGGCGGUCACCUGAAGCAUUUGCCUUGGGGAUAUUUCCUUCCUUCUGGGUAUCCUUCCUCAUUUCACCCGCUUGCCUGACUCCUCCCUCCUUCUCUUCCUCCCUUCCUUUCUUUUCUACCUUCACCAUUCAUCCAUCCCUAGUUCCUCCUGGAGCUCAGGUCCUCCCAACAAAACUGCUCCUGACCUUGCAGGGCAUGCAGGAGGGAACGCUCCUUGUGGGGAUGUCCCAUCCUGGACAACUCUUCUUUACACCACCUACCCUCACAUGGGGCUGGAGGUGAUUCUACCAGAGGAGGGGCCUGUAUCAGAGUUAAGUUCCAUCUAUAUAAGAUAGAGAUGAAUUUUUUGCUCCUGUACUUGAAGUCUGUAGGUAAACAUCCCCGGGCUGAUUAGAAGAUUACAGACUGUCAGGGACUCAGCUCCUUCUCUCUUACUGAUCUGCUGGGUAUAGUUUUCAUUUCCAAGGUCACUUCAUUGCUCAAGAUGGUUGCUGGACCUCUAGCCAGUAGAAGGGAGGAAGAAAGGCUUGAAACAGCACUUACCCCUUCCCUGGACACUUCCUGGACAUUGUACACACGCUGCUUGCAUCCCACUGGCCAGAUGUGGUCACCCAGCCACAUCUAGCUGCAAGGGAGGCUGAGCAGUA